CCCUUAGAUGAUUUGGGCUGCACGCGCGCUACACUGACCCUAACAAUGAGCAACUGUCUGGCCUGAGAUGGCUGGGUAGCCUUUUCAACCCAUGUCAUGAUUGGGCUAGAUUUUUGUAAGUCUUGAUCUCUAACGAGGAAUCCCUAGUAUGCGUGAAUCAUCAAUCCAUGCAGAUUAUGUCCCUGCCCUUUGUACACACCGCCCGUCGCUCCUACUGAUUGGGUGAUCCGGUGAGCAGUUCGGCCAUAGCAAUGUUUCUUGAGCAGGGCAAUGAAUGUUUCGCAAACCUUGCCACUUAGAGGAAGGAGAAGUCGUAACA
rnacentral:rRNA from 1 species